UUGAAAUACCAAAUCUCGUAGGAUCACCGAAGGUAAGCAACGUCGAGCUUGGUCAGUACCUAGAUGGGUAAUCAUUUGGGAAUACCCGGUGUUGUAAG